rnacentral:rRNA from 1 species
AGAUUAGCCAUGCAUGUCUAAGUAUAAGCAAUUUAUACAGUGAAACUGCGAAUGGCUCAUUAAAUCAGUUAUCGUUUAUUUGAUAGUACCUUACUACUUGGAUAACCGUGGUAAUUCUAGAGCUAAUACAUGCUUAAAAUCCCGACUGUUUGGAAGGGAUGUAUUUAUUAGAUAAAAAAUCAAUGUCUUCGGACUCUUUGAUGAUUCAUAAUAACUUUUCGAAUCGCAUGGCCUUGUGCUGGCGAUGGUUCAUUCAAAUUUCUGCCCUAUCAACUUUCGAUGGUAGGAUAGUGGCCUACCAUGGUUUCAACGGGUAACGGGGAAUAAGGGUUCGAUUCCGGAGAGGGAGCCUGAGAAACGGCUACCACAUCCAAGGAAGGCAGCAGGCGCGCAAAUUACCCAAUCCCGACACGGGGAGGUAGUGACAAUAAAUAACGAUACAGGGCCCUUUCGGGUCUUGUAAUUGGAAUGAGUACAAUGUAAAUACCUUAACGAGGAACAAUUGGAGGGCAAGUCUGGUGCCAGCAGCCGCGGUAAUUCCAGCUCCAAAAGCGUAUAUUAAAGUUGUUGCAGUUAAAAAGCUCGUAGUUGAACCUUGGGCUUGGUUGGCCGGUCCAUCUUUCUGAUGCGUACUGGACCCAACCGAGCCUUUCCUUCUGGCUAGCCUUUUGGCGAACCAGGACUUUUACUUUGAA